UACGUAGGGUGCGAGCGUUAAUCGGAAUACUGGGCGUAAAGCGUGCGCAGGCGGUUCUGAAAGUCAGCUGUGAAAGCCCCGGGCUUAACCUGGGAACUGCGGUUGAAACUACAGGACUAGAAUCUGGCAGAGGGGGGUGGAAUUCCACGUGUAGCAGUGAAAUGCGUAGAGAUGUGGAGGAACACCGAUGGCGAAGGCAGCCCCCUGGGCUGAGAUUGACGCUCAGGCACGAAAGCGUGGGGAGCAAACAG
rnacentral:rRNA from 1 species